CUAACAUACUCACGACACUCCUCGAAGCCCACCUGCAGAGACCUUCAGAUGAUAGCUUCGCUGGAAAAAAACAACUUGACAAAAUCCCAAAUCUUGUUCCGCUGAAGGGGAGAGAUCACAUUCCAUGAUGAAGGCUUAGUGCAUGGAGUCCAAACCUGCACUGCACAGAAACAAUGCUUGCAAGGGACAGAGUCAUCAGGUGCAAUCAUGGAGACAUUUAAAGGAAGCCAGAGGACUCAGAAAAACCCCCAGCAAGCUUGACGAGAACAUGUCAAGUACAAACAAAGAGGUUCAACUAGAGACUUAAACCUGGAUCCGCUGACUAUCUGCCAGAUAAGAGACCACUACCAUUAUACGGUAGGACAGAUAACAUAUUUUGUCCUUUUGUUAGGUCUACACCAGGUGUCGGCAACCCAAAACAAUGAAAGAGCCAUAUUAGAACAAAAAACUAAUCUGUCUGGAGUCGCAACAAAUGAAAAGCCAUAUAUAAGUCUUAUAAUGAAGGCAACACAUGAUGUAAGUGUCUAUAUUAGCUAUAAUACCUUACUAUCAAAAGGACUAUGUC